rnacentral:rRNA from 1 species
GACGAACGCUGGCGGCGUGCUUAACACAUGCAAGUCGAACGAUGAACCCGGAGCUUGCUCUGGGGGAUUAGUGGCGAACGGGUGAGUAACACGUGAGUAACCUGCCCUGGACUCUGGGAUAAGCGUUGGAAACGACGUCUAAUACCGGAUAGGACCUUGGAUCGCAUGAUCUGGGGUGGAAAGUUUUUUCGGUCUGGGAUGGACUCGCGGCCUAUCAGCUUAUUGGUGAGGUAAUGGCUCACCAAGGCGUCGACGGGUAGCCGGCCUGAGAGGGUGACCGGCCACACUGGGACUGAGACACGGCCCAGACUCCUACGGGAGGCAGCAGUGGGGAAUAUUGCACAAUGGGCGAAAGCCUGAUGCAGCAACGCCGCGUGCGGGAUGACGGCCUUCGGGUUGUAAACCGCUUUUAGUAGGGAAGAAGGGCUUCGGCUUGACGGUACCUGCAGAAAAAGGACCGGCUAACUACGUG